rnacentral:rRNA from 1 species
GACCUCAACUCGGGCAAGGCUACCCGCUGAAUUUAAGCAUAUCAAUAAGCGGAGG